GACGUAGGUGGCGAACGUUAUCCGGAAUUAUUGGGCGUAAAGGGUGCGUAGAUGGCCUGAUAAGUUAGCAGUGGGAAAUCGAGGCUCAACCUCGUGGAAGCUGGUAAUACUGUCAAGCUCGAGUGCAGGAGAGGUUAACGGAACCCCAUGUGGAGCGGUAAAAUGUGUAGAUAUAUGGAAGAACACCAAUAACGGCGAAGGCAGUUAACUAUUCUGUUACUGACAUUGAGGCACGAAAGCGUGGGGAGCAAAACGG
rnacentral:rRNA from 1 species